rnacentral:tRNA from 1 species
GUGGAUGUAGCUCAGUCGGUAGAGCCCCUGGUUGUGGUCCAGGUGGUCGCGAGUUCAAGUCUCGUCAUCCACCCC